ACCAUUGCCAGAAGGUUGUGUUGUGACUUCCAGCGAUCCCAAGACCAUGGAGGAGAUUCCACAAGACACUUACUCUAGAUCCUUAACCCAUCAGCAGUCUUUGGUGCAAGGAGGAACAAACAGCUGGAAUGGCUCUCCAGGAGCUCAGUGGUCCCCUGGUCCAGAUCUGGGAGGAGAUCUCCCAGGACACCAUCCGUUUUCUCAUUAGGAGCAUGUCCCGGCGCCACCAGCUGAAUCAAGGCAAAGGUCUAAUGCUGCCAGAGCCUGACAUGCUUCAGAGGUAUCUGCAGCAGAAGAGUGCAGAGAUCAAUGUCCUGCUCCAGAACAUCCAGUCCCUCAUCACCUAUCAAAAGCCUGUCAGUCCACGG